UUCUACUUCCGGAACGCCAGGGGAGACAAUUCCGGUUCCGGGAUCCCCCUUCUUGGUCACCUGCAAGUCCCAGCUCGCUCCACCUACAGAAAGAGAAGCCAUCUCAGUAUGAGCUUUAUGAACCUAGCCGACCUUUAAUGACUUCUGAGAGGAAUGGAGUUUCCUUGAUGAGCCUCAGAGAGAGCUGUGCCACGUGAUGCGGAGAACUUUGCCUGUAUAACCUCGCCAGGUUGUUGGUGUGGAGCAAAGGGAGAGCAGACACCCUCAGUGAAGUGUUUCAGUAGAAAGUGUCACAGCUAGGUCCAUUCAUCCAGAAGGCUCAUCCCUGUGAGAUGUGUGUUCUGGUCUUAAGGGACAUUUUGUAUCUGGCUGAGCAACAAGGAACGCUAUCUGGGCAGAAAUAGUACACUUGUGAGGCAUGCGGGAAACAAUUCUGGUUUAGUGCAAACAUGCACCAGCACCAGAAGGAACACAAUGGAAUAGAGACGUGGACAAUGCUUUCUCUGUGAAAGGCUGCAGAUUUUAAGUGUCAGGAAGGCCUUUCGCCUGUGGGAAAGUUGGGAAGGAUUUUCCUGGCAACUGUACCUUCUCCAACAUAGGCCACUCACAACUGGAUUGAAGCCACACAUCAGCACCAAAUGUGGGGAGGCCUUUCACAGCAGAAAAAGUCAUUACAAGUGCAGUGAACCAGGAAAGCUUUCAGGUACAAAUACAAACUUGUUCAACAUCAGGGAAUUCACAAUGGAGAAAAGGCCUUAGGAGUGUGGCAAAUGUGGGAAAUUAUUUAGCCAAAACUCCAAUCUCAUUUGUCACUGGAUAAUUCACGCUGGAGAAAGGCUUAUGCGUGUGGUGAAUGUGGAGAAUUUCUUUAGCCAAAGCUCUGGCUUCAUUGAACACUAGAGAAUUCACACUAGAGCUAGGCCUCAUGUGCAUGGUGAAUAUAGGAUGUCCUUUAGCCAGAGCUCCAUCCUUAGUUAAUCACAGAGCGUUCGCACUGGAGCAAAGCCCUGUGAAUUUGGUAAAUAUGGGAAAUCACUUCAACAGAAAGCCCUGGACUCAAUCAACACUGGAGAGUGCCUGCUGGAGAAAGGCUUCCAUAUUCACUAUAACAACUCAGGAGGAAAGCCUCUGUGAAUGUAAAGGAGGCAUCGAACUCCAUACAUCUGAACAUCCACAGUGGAGAGGUUCCCCACAAAUUCCAGACUUCAGGAGAAAUAGCACUUCCUACAGGAGACUUGCCUCUUCUACCUCACCAUGUUAAGCCCCUCUGACAUGGGCUCCCAUAUACCUGCCUGGGACCAAAUUAUUGUCUGCAUCUCCAAAGAGGCCCCAAGCUCCAUGGAGAUUACCACCACUUGACCAUUUGGCAACUGAAUAACUUUGACCAUUAGAUUCUUCUCCCGUUACUGAACUGAACGGCCUUUCUGUUCUUGCCAUUUGCGGGAAUGUGUGUUUUGUUAAGUACAAGUCACAAGACUGGCUCAAUCCUUAAUGCAUCCAUCUGUUGGUUUCCCCAAUAUAGUUUAGUCAAUAAACAGAAUUCCAUUUCCA